rnacentral:rRNA from 1 species
GACGUAGGGCGCGAGCGUUGUCCGGAUUUAUUGGGCGUAAAGAGCUCGUAGGCGGCUUGUCGCGUCGACUGUGAAAUCCCGCGGCUCAACCGCGGGUCUGCAGUCGAUACGGGCAGGCUAGAGUUCGGUAGGGGAGACUGGAAUUCCUGGUGUAGCGGUGGAAUGCGCAGAUAUCAGGAGGAACACCGAUGGCGAAGGCAGGUCACUGGGCCGCAACUGACGCUGAGGAGCGAAAGCAUGGGGAGCGAACAGG